UGAUCGUAUAUUAUGGUCAGUUAUUUUAAGUGUUGUUUGUAUCGGUCGCUUCGUUGGAAACGCUGUUAAACUGUAUUAAAACGAUCUCGUAAGUAACUAUAGUACCAGCAACCUAAAUAGUAGUGACAAAUAAAUAUUAAACAUUAGUAUUUUUAAUAAUAAUUAGACAUUUUUAAAUGAAUACACCAACCGUUAGCAUUAAUGUCCGAGUGACUGAAAAGAAAUUGCAUCCGGUCAUGGUAUUGUGUUAUAAUUUAGGUAUAAUCAAUGAUCGAAAAAGUUCGUAAUCUGCGUUAAAAACUAUAAUUAUACUGAAUCAAUUGUAUAACUUAACGUUAUCAUUCUUUUAAUUCAUGACUUGAAAAAUCGAUUAUCUUCUUCAACAUUUCUCCAUUGACCACUGCCAAACAUCAAUCAACAACCGUUCCAUUUGAUCAGAAUUGAUUCAAGCAACUAAAUACACAGAUUUGUCAACAAUAUUCGUCACGUAUUAUAAUGAAGUUGAUGUUUAUAAUUUGUUCCCUAUGUUAUUUUGUAUUACGGUAUGUAUUUUCUACAAAUGCCGACGUCCGGUGUGGCCACGAUUGUUCUCUAGUUACCGAAUUUCCCGACCCCGUACACUGUUCUAAUAACCGUGAAAAACGAACUCUAUGUCAUGGAAAACCAGGAUGAUCAUGUUGUUGGGCCUAAUUUCAA